CUCAGAGCAGCGCAUCUCCUCUGCUCAGGACCAGCCCUGCAUGCAUCAUUUCAUCCCUCGAUGCUGCACCUCCUGCCCCCACUUGUCAAAUGCAGCUCAGGAAGACCGAGCUCAUGAGAGGAAAGGCGCUCAGGCUUGCUACCUGUUUGCAAGGGAUGGGGGCUGACUCAGUCACCAUCACCUGAACACCACUCCUCCGACCAUCCACCCCAGUUCCUGCCUUCGCUGCAUGACUUACAAUCGUUCCCUGUAGAUGGUGACCUCGCCGAGGCAGUCAGCGGGACUGUUCAGACCCCUGCCGUAUCCCCAGGGGCCAGGGCACAGAAUGACGUCUGGCGUGUAUGAGGACUACACAUAUACAGGGGUUUGUGUUUUUGGACUGACUUUGCUUGGCAGUGACUUAAACUCGUCAUCAGAUUUCACCUAGGCCAACACACGAAAGGGAUCCGCCACCUGCAUUCCUCUGCUCUUUCUUCAGUUCCCUGUCCCGACACCCGAGUGGAGGGUAGGCUUGGGGAAAAUGGGGCCAGUGUUCAGAUCAGGACACAAGAUGACCGAUGGGCAAAAACGGGGUUUUAGUUUCACUUUAGCAGGGGGACCCACCACCAGGUCCCAGAGAAGUGAAAGGACACCACAGCAUCUCGUCACCAGCAUCUCAACACAAGGUGGAAGGGGACCCUGGAGGAGCUGCUGGGAUCUGGGCACACGACUUCAAGUUCCCUGUCCAGAUGAGGCAGGGAAGACCAGUUUGGGAAGCAAGACGCAUCACGAUCUGAAAAUUUAACCCGUGAACUGAAACCAGUGCCUACACGAAUAUUAUUCCCCAUUUAACACCAGUGGACACCCAGUCCCUUUACAUUUCAAGUCAACAGCCUCAGGCGGUGCUCGGAUGGCGGAGGGGUUGACAAAGUGAUGCAAGUCGCGUGCACGCCACGCAAGGGGAAAUACCUAGUGUUCUCAGUGAUGCGUGAGGUCAGUGAAAGCGACGCUGAAGAACAAUUCAAAUCACGGGAGGGCGUGUCGGACUGAAAAGACCCGCCUGCCGGAGACAACAGAUCCUUCAACACACAGCUUCAGUGACGACAGAGACCUGAGGAGGCCCUCAGGAAACUGGUGAAGCUCUCUCCAGUAUCUGACAAAAAUGACCUUCCUUAUGAGUCUGCUGGGAAAGCCAACUGAGAAGAGAAAGGGGUCCCCGACGGCUACUGUUCACCGCAUCAAAAUAAUUACGCGAAAAAUAAAUCAGCACUUUAUGUGUGCUAAGAACGGGGGCGCAGUUGCGACUACCGCUUAAAUUUUGCUAAACGCCACAUAAAACCCACUCAUUGCCCAAGUGUUCAAUUGUUUCCCAAAAUAAAGCCCUAAUAAAAUGUUUUUUUUUCCCAAUA